rnacentral:rRNA from 1 species
UGAAUACGAGAUGCUAAGGCGUCGAAGUAGUGUAUGUCAUACUUCCAAGAAAAGCUUGCACUGUCAUAAAUAAAAAGUGCCUGUACCAUAACCGACACAGGUGGGUAAGUAGAGUAUACUAAGGGGCGCGAGAUAACUCUCUCUAAGGAACUCGGCAAAAUAACUCCGUAACUUCGGGAGAAGGAGUGCCUUAUUCUUAAGGUUGCAAUAACAAGAUCCAAGCAACUGUUUAUCAAAAACACAGGUCUCCGCUAAGUCGUAAGACGAUGUAUGGGGGCUGACGCCUGCCCAGUGCCAGAAGGUUAAAGAAGUUGGUUAGCAAUUGCGAAGCUGGUAACUGAAGCCCUGGUGAACGGCGGCCGUAACUAUAACGGUCCUAAGGUAGCGAAAUUCCUUGUCGGGUAAGUUCCGACCCGCACGAAAGGCGUAAUGAUUUGGAUGCUGUCUCGGAGAGGGGCUCGGUGAAAUAGACUUGUCUGUGAAGAUGCGGACUACCUGCACCAGGACAGAAAGACCCUAUGAAGCUUUACUGUAACUUGAAAUUGAAAUUGGACUUUAUUUGCGCAGUAUAGGUGGGAGGCGUUGAUUAUAAUCUUGCGGGAUUAUUGGAGCCAUCAGUGAGAUACCACUCUUGUAAUGUUAGAUUUCUAACUUUGAAUCAUUAUCUGGUCAAAGGACAAUUUCAGGCGGGCAGUUUGACUGGGGCGGUCGCCUCCUAAAUGGUAACGGAGGCGUACAAAGGUUUCCUCUGAACGGUUAGAAAUCGUAUCUAGAGUGUAAAGGCAUAAGGAAGCUUGACUGUGAGACCUACAAGUCGAGCAGGGACGAAAGUCGGUCUUAGUGAUCUGACGGUACUGAGUGGAAAGGCCGUCACUCAACGGAUAAAAGUUACUCUAAGGAUAACAGGCUGAUCUCCCCCAAGAGUUCACAUCGACGGGGAGGUUUGGCACCUCGAUGUCGGCUCAUCGCAUCCUGGGGCGGUAGUACGUCCCAAGGGUUGGGCUGUUCGCCCAUGAAAGCGGUACGCGAGCUGGGUUCAGAACGUCGUGAGACAGUUCGGUCCAUAUCCGGUGUAGGCGUUAGAAUAUUGAGAGGAGCCUUCUUUAGUACGAGAGGACCGAGAAGGACAUACCUCUGGUGUACCAGUUAUCGUGCCAACGGUAAACGCUGGGUAGCUAUGUAUGGAGUGGAUAACCGCUGAAAGCAUCUAAGUGGGAAGCCCACCUCAAGAUAAGUAUUCUCAC